rnacentral:lncRNA from 1 species
ACAAGGGAAAAAAAAGGAAUAUAAGAAAGCAACUGUGAAUCUGAGGCUUCAUUUUGAGUUUUCCCCCAAAACAAAAAGGGGAAAACUAAAAGCCUGAUAGGUUACCUUUUUCUAACAAGGAACAACUGUCUCUACUUCGGGUUGCAUGCUUUCUCAAGUUUGAGUUUAGACAGACCACUCUUUUGUGAAUCUUUGCAUAAAGGGUCAUUGAAUAAUGGUCAGAGGCAUUGUCUUUGAAUGUUUUACAGAUAUGCUGAGGUUUGUACUUAGAACUUCUCAUUUUACAUUCAGCCUUUCAGUGAAAGGCGAACGUGAAGCUGACAUUUUAUAAUGGCAAAACUUAGGGGGCCAGAGCUAUAAGACAUGUUCAGAAGACAGGGAUAUGUGUCUUUUUUUCUCUUGUAUUGCUCAUGGUACCUAGCACAAAGUUGGAGAUGUGAUAGACUCUUUAAUACAGGUAUUCUUAUAUGGUUUACCAUGGCAAAAUCAACUUUCAAUUUUGUUUGGUUUUCAGAGUACUUUUCAUGAUAAAAAGGUUCAUUUGUUUUACUCUCAGAGCAUGCUCUGAGCUGAGAAUUAUAAACUAAAGGAGAAAAUAAUGAUGAGCAAAUAAUUGCCCAGGCUCCUAUGGAGAGUUCUCAGUAGAGCUGGAUUUGGUAACUUGAUGAGUUGUCACUGGCAAAUUUAGCAUUCACAUGUCAGACCUAGAAUAAUGCUAGAUGCUUAUCCCUCUCGUAUGGGAGCAGCCAGGAAGUCAGAAGAGGACCACAGACAGAGCGUUUGUUGGUGACAAGGGCUUUCAUAUCUUCAGAACUUGGCAAUAAGUAUUUUUAAAUAAUGGGAAGAAUGAAUUAUUUGAUUUCUGUGAAUUUAAAUUGCAAAAAUGAAAUAUGUGGGAGAAAACAGGUGCCUCCAUCUUUAACUGGAAUUGACAAAGCAGCAUUCACAAAGUGGCAACAAUUUCCUUUGACAUUUAUGAUUGCCCUAAUGCUGUUAAUCAGUGUGAGAUUAUUAUUUUUCCUUUCACAAAUGGAGAAACUGAGGUUCUGAGGGGUGAAGUGAGCUUACCCCAUUCCACAAAACUUGUAACUGCUGAUUCCCAGUUCUUUGUUCAUUUUAUUAGGCCAUGGAUGUUUCCUUAAAUAUAUUUCUCUGGGAAUAAAAUUCUCUUACAGAUCUUCUAGAAAUGGGGAUCUUGGCUUUCUGAAAUGAAAUUAUGUAUGGGCCAGAAGCCAGGAGAUGGAACGUGUGCUUUCUUACGUGUUUUCCUUCCAGCUUCCUUAGUCACGAUUCUUCAUUAUAACUUUGGUAUCUCUGAUAUUGAGUUAACUUUGACGAUGGUAUGGAUGAUGGUGGAUGGGUGGUACAUACAACUUUGAAGCACAUGAUGACUCUCUGGCCACCUACUUUAUUCUCGUAUUUCCCAAGAGGAGGUAAAUACUUCAUUUUAGAGAAACUGGACUCUAACCUAAAGUGGCCGAGAAGUCUAACCUGCAUUGUAAUCUUCAUCAAAUGAAAACACUUUGUUCUUAAAAGUACACUUGUUCCUUCUUCUUGCCCUUGACAAUUUUCUGUUUGAAGCAGCAAGGAACAGAGGAAAGAUAACAUAGUUUAUUCUAUGGAUUUCUACCAGUUCAAUUUUUAAAGUGUUAGCCUCUUAAAAUAAAUGUUUUCAUAAAAGAUCAUGAAGAAACUCGGAUUUUUGUCACUCCAUCAAUAUGUAGGAGGAGGGUAUGUCUGGGUAAGAGCCAAACAAUUAAGGUGUUACUGACCAGAAGUCUCUUGGUUUGCUGUCAUAAAAUGUCACAACUAUCAGCAACCACAAAAUCUUCAAUAAAUGGCACUGCAGACAGAAAUUUUUCUUAACAGUCUGGGUUUGUGAAUUCUCUUUUUUCCUUUCUGGUUUCCCUCUGUAGAUGUCUCUUUCUUCCUUUGUGCUUGGUCUCUCUGUUUCUCUUACUAACAACACACAUAUUUCUCCAUCUCUGUAUCAUCAUCUUCUAUUAGUUUUUCACAAGUGUAUUUCUGUGACUAAAAGGAUCAACAGAUGCUGACUUCAAUAUUGUGAAGCAUCCAGAAAAAGAACAAUUAAUUUAUAACAAACCUGCUUUGCUCUAACACUGACAGCUUUUGAAAAUGUAUACUGUAUGUGAGAUCCACAUCUCAUUUUGUUUUCAUUUAGAUGGUCAACAGCAUUUAACUCGAAGUUAGGUUUAAAUUCCCCCCAUGAGACUUGUCAGUUUUUGUCAGAAAUAAAACCAAUGAAUAUUUCCAUUUUAAAUAUUUAAAAGACCUUUUAAAUAAUGUGUUGAUAUUUUUGCUUGCAUUUUUGUUAUUAUCUUAACACUCUCUAUUGCUAUCUGCUUCAAUAUAGGAAAAAUGCAGUUACAAAUGUUUCCUGGUUAUAGUUAUUAAGAAUUAUCCCUAAUCUUAGGCUAGAUAUAUACAGAAGAUAAUCGUGUUCUAGAGUGUUCCUGCUGAAUAAAGUUGCCACUUAAUAAGAAACAGAUAUCAUGACUAGGUUGCCCUUGGAACUAACUGUCCAAGCGUGAACAAAUAUAUAUACUACAUCACACAUACACUCACAGUGCACAACACACUUAUACACUUCUCACAUACUCGCCUUUCUUUUACAACUUUCUGGCUCAGCAUGCCCAUGUCAUGAGCUAAUUCUGACCUAACAGAGAGGCUGUGCAGUCUUUCAGCUAGUGGAGGCUGAGAAAAUUGUGCAGCAAUAGGUCCAGUCCCUGGAAGAUGAAGUUAGUUAGCAUUUGGUGCCCAGCCAGCAGCAAUGUGACUUAGGCUUUUCGUCCUAGUAGGUAUGGAGUUCUGCUCUGAGCAACAAUUCAUUUAUUUUGUGCCAAUAUUCUGACUAGCUCAUUCUAGAAUCUUCUAUUUUGGUCAGAAUCUGUCCUAUAUUCUUGGCUGUGGUUCAAUUCUUUCAAUCAAAGAUCUGCCUAAUCCUGUUUUCCCAUAGCUAAUGUUGACAGGGUUCACCACGCCAUCUUCAUCUCCGCCCCCACUUCUCAUCUUCAGCCCAAACCAAUCUUCAUCUCUAUCUUCAUCUUUACUUCCAUCCACACAGCAAUCUUCAACUCCAUCUACCAAUACCAGUCUUAAGCUCCUGUGCCCCACCAUCCUCAGUCAUAGCAGUGCUCGAUGUGAUAACCUAAUCAAAAAUUUCAAACCAAACUGCCCAGCAUUCAUGGUUGUAAAGGACAUGUAGAAUCAGUCAACUGAUAGAUACAAAGUAACACUGAAACUGAUUGAGCAAUAAUCAGAAAGUUGGCGCUGCAAUAGCUUCCUCAGUUGUACCUCUCUGUCCACCGCCCAGCUCUUUCCUGUUGCUUCCAGUUCCUCUCACUUGUACUUCUUUAUUAACUAUUUGUUAACAUAACUUUCUAUGGUUUUCUUUCACCUAAGACCCAAACCUCUUCUCCUGGCUUGCAUUUCCACGACUCCCUGCCCAAGCCUGAGGUUGCACAAGAAACAUAUCUCUAAUUAAUGUCCCCUGUUCCAGGAAUUUGACUCAUUGGGCCUGCAAAAGAUUUUCGUGACAAAUGAAAUAUUUUUCUAAACCAAGGACUUGGGGAUAACUUCAGGGUCAAAGACAUCUUAUCAUAUUUAAGAACAGCCACAGGAUGUCUAGGAGCCAGCAGAGGGGCCAGAUAUGCUGCAGUUUAUGCUGUAAAAGGAAGCCUGCCGCCGUGAGUGGUCCAGUGGGAGCUCUUGCUUUGUGUCCUCAGCCUUUCACCUUUCCAUCUGAUGACUUGCUCUGAAUCUUCACUUCCUGGGCAGAGCUCUGAGUAUAGAUGAGGCAAACUUCACAUGGAAAAGAAGCCAUAUUUUGAAAAAACUACACGGAAUCAAAGAGAACUAACUCAAAGAAGCAAAAUUUUGGAGAUAAAACAAGCACCAUUCAGAAUCUGGACAUAUAAUAUGUUUAUGGCAUUUAACCUAGUCAGACAGUAGAUAUUGCUCUAAGUCAUGGCCUACACCUGUGAGCCUACUUAUAUCAGCAUUUGCCAAAUGUACUUGUAGCUGUGGUACUGACCUCAGAGAACUUAGCCAAAGAGCAAAGACUGCCUAAUUCAAGAAGUACUGGCUGUACAGGAAGCAUAAUGCCAGCAUCUGUUUCUGGUGAGGCCUCAGGAAGCUUUUACUUAUGGUGGAAGGUGAAGGAGGAACAGGUGUCUCACAGGGCAAGAGGAGCAAGAGGGAGCAGGUGGGGAUUGGUGCCACACACUUGUAAACAUCCACAUUUUGUGAGAACUCACUAUCUCAAAAACAGCACCAAGCCAUGAGGAAUCCCUUCCUAUGACCCAAACACCUCCC